rnacentral:tRNA from 14 species
CAGAUAGCUCAGUCGGUAGAGCAGGGGACUGAAAAUCCCCGUGUCGGUGGUUCGAA